CGGGAAGAGCCCAUCGCUGAAUCCCCGGACCCGGCCGGGCUCGGGGAGUUGUGGCGUGAGGCGGCUUCGGGCGCACGAGGGUAUGGCGCCGAGGUCCUCCUGAUCGGGGCACCUUACCCAGAGCGGGUGUCAGGCCCGUUCUGGCGCCAACUCUCGCGGGCCGGGAGCCACCAAGAGUCGGGUUGUUUUGGAAUGCAGCCCAAAGAGGGGUGGUGAACUCCAUCCAAG
rnacentral:rRNA from 1 species